GAACCUGCGGAGGGAUCAUUACAGAGUUAUCUAAACUCCCAAACCCAUGUGAACAUACCUCGCGUUGCCUCGGCAGGUGGCGUCCUACCCCGUGAUACCUACCCUGUAGGACCUACCCGGUAGGCGACCCUGCCGACGGCCCCCGAAACUCUGUUUUUAUAGCAUUGGACUUCUGAAAAGAUAACUAAAUAAGUUAAAACUUUCAACAACGGAUCUCUUGGUUCUGGCAUCGAUGAAGAACGCAGCGAAAUGCGAUAAGUAAUGUGAAUUGCAGAAUUCAGUGAAUCAUCGAAUCUUUGAACGCACAUUGCGCCCACUAGUAUUCUGGUGGGCAUGCCUGUUCGAGCGUCAUUUCAACCCUUAAGCCCCCGUUGCUUAGUGUUGGGAGCCUACUGGAACUCUCCUGUAGCUCCCCAAAGUCAGUGGCGGAGCCGGUUCGCACUCCAGACGUAGUAGCUUUUACACAUCGCCUGUAGCUUGGACCCGGUCCCCUGCCGUAAAACACCCCCCAAUUUUAUAGGUGACCUC
rnacentral:rRNA from 1 species